rnacentral:lncRNA from 1 species
AUGUCUUCCAGAGACCAGCCUGCAAUGAUCCAUGUGGCUUGUGUGUCUAUCAAAGAAUCAGUCAAGGCUUUAAGGUUUAGGUUCCUGCCCACACCAGAGGCCACUUGCAGCCAGCAUCAGACCAAUGCCAUCUUUUGGGAUGGCAAACGGCUGCUUAGGACCUCUGCAGUGGGCACUAGCAAGGGAAACCUUGAAAAGAUAAAAAAAGGAGAAAGCUACAUCAUUAAAAACUGCCGGGUUACGGACUCUGGCUUUCUCAAUUUCUUGAGAGACAGCAAAAUUUUCCUGUCGAGCAAAAUAGAAGUGCCACAGGACCAAAUACAACAGGGGGAAGCCAUGUUGUUCCCCAUCUCACCUCUGGUGGCUGUAGAGGACCUCGCUAAUUCAGCCCCAGAGCUGUUUUCGCUAAGUGGAAAAAUUGUAAAAUUGAGCCAAAUCAUGUGUAGAGGGGACAAUGUGCCAUUGCGGGAGAUCACAAUAAGUAGUUCCAUGGGAGAAGAGGUCCAACUUGCUAUGUGGAGGGAGUGUGCUCUCGAAAUACCUGAGCUGAACAGGCAUUAUACAUUCACCCACCUCCGUAUGAAGGAUUAUUUAUCAUACGGCAGAAAAUGCUGCUCCACUGUUCACACCAGGAUAACUGUGGCUGACAAUGAAGAACAGGUGCAGGUAGAGGUGAAAGGGCUAGGGGAAGAAAACGGUUGUCUGCUCCUGGUCACCGAAAUGGGAAAAGAGGUUUCCAUUCCCAAGGAAGUGUGGAAUGGAGAAAUCCUUGAGUUAUCGAAACACCUCCCCUUUUCAGUACAUGUGUUUAUGAAAGAAGGGGAGGUGUUCCGAGUCAAUGGACUGCCUGGAUCAGAAGAAUAAAGGAAGACCUGCCAUCCACCUACACCUGUACCUGUUCAUGUUCUGCAAAUCUUCAAACAUAUUAUAUAUACACAUACAUGCAUGCAUGACACACACAGACGCACACUUUACAUUUUUUCUGUCUUUUUCUGAAUUGUAUAAAUAAAGUACUUUUCUUGUAAAUUAUCA